AGGAAAUCUUAAAACACAAAGACAAAGAUGGCAUACUGAUCAAGACAAUAACUUGAUGGAAUCCUGGACUUCUUUGCUAAAAUUUAAUCAAUUUCAUCGUGGUAGAAUUUCUAACUUGAAUUUUGAAGGUGAUAUUUUUGAUGAGUUUUUACUGCAACAAAAGAUUGGAAAGCUAUGUGAUACUGCCGUAAAAAAUUGUGCACAGGAUAUAUCCAAGGUGGAAGAUUCAAACACAGUGGAAACUGAAAGAGAUGAUAGAAAUGAUUUUGAAAUACCAAUCUUGCCAUAUGGACAACAUCUGUGCAUUCAAAUUGCAACUACGUGGGGAGAUAGGCAUUAUGUUGGUCUUAAUGGAAUUGAAAUCUAUUCUUCUAAUGGUAAUCCUGUUAAGAUAGCGAAGAUCACAGCCGAUCCCCCAGAUAUUAAUAUAUUACCAGCAUAUGGUAAAGAUCCAAGAGUUGUAACAAAUUUAAUUGAUGGCGUAAAUAGGACACAGGAUGACAUGCAUCUUUGGCUGACACCAUUUACUCCGGGAAAACGUCACUUUAUUUUUAUGGAUUUUUUACAACCAUGUAACGUUGCAAUGAUUAGGAUUUGGAAUUACAAUAAGUCAAGAAUUCAUUCAUACCGUGGCAUAAAAGACAUUGAAAUCACUUUAGAUAAUUAUAAAAUCUUUAAAGGUGAAAUUGCUAAAGCUUCAGGAACACUAUCUGGAGG